rnacentral:rRNA from 1 species
GUGGGGAAUCUUCCGCAAUGGACGAAAGUCUGACGGAGCGACGCCGCGUGAGUGAAGAAGGCUUUCGGGUUGUAAACUUCUUUUAUGAGGGACGAAUAGAUGACGGUACCUCAUGAAUAAGCCACGGCUAACUACGUGCCAGCAGCCGCGGUAAUACGUAGGUGGCAAGCGUUAUCCGGAUUUACUGGGUGUAAAGGGCGUGUAGGCGGGACUGCAAGUCAGAUGUGAAAUUCCAGGGCUCAACCCUGGACCUGCAUUUGAAACUGUGGUUCUUGAGUGAUGGAGAGGCAGGCGGAAUUCCCUGUGUAGCGGUGAAAUGCGUAGAUAUAGGGAGGAACACCAGUGGCGAAGGCGGCCUGCUGGACAUUAACUGACGCUGAGGCGCGAAAGCGUGGGGAGCAAACAGGAUUAGAAACCCGGGUAGUCC